rnacentral:rRNA from 1 species
CCUGGCUCAGGACGAACGCUGGCGGCGUGCCUAAGCUUAUGCAAGUCGAACGCGAACGGCUCCUUCGGGAGCCUAGUAGAGUGGCAAACGGGUGAGUAACGCGUGGGUAACGUACCCUGAUCCUGGGAAUAACCCUCGGAAACGAGGGCUAAUACCGAAUGUGGCGAACGACCGGUUGGUCGCUCGCUAAAGGUGGCCUCUUCUAUGCUGCCGGGUUGGGAUCGGCCCGCGUCCCAUUAGCUAGUUGGUGAGGUAACGGCUCACCAAGGCCACGAUGGGUAGCCGGCCUGAGAGGGUGUACGGCCACACUGGCACUGAGACAAGGGCCAGUCCCCUAUGGGAGGCGCAGGCGGGAAUAGUUCACAAUGGGCGAAAGCCUGAUGACGCGACGCCGCGUGAGCGAAGAAGACCUUCGGGUUGUAAAGCUCUGUCAGGAGGGAAGAAGGCUCUACGGGUCAAUAGCCCGUGGGAUUGACGGUACCUCCAGAGGAAGCCCCGGCUAAAUACGUGCCAGCAGCCGCGGUAAUACGUAUGGGGCAAGCGUUGUCCGGAUUUACUGGGCGUAAAGGGCGCGUAGGCGGUUUGUUAAGUCGAAGGUGAAAUCCUCGGGCUCAACUCGAGAAUUGCCUUCGAUACUGGCAAACUAGAGUGGCGGAGAGGAAAGCGGAACUCUUGGUGUAACGGUGGAAUGUGUAGAUAUCAAGAGGAACACCGGUGGCGAAGGCGGCUUUCUGGACGCACACUGACGCUCAGGCGCGAAAGCGUGGGUAGCAAACAGGAUUAGAUACCCUGGUAGUCCACGCCAUAAACGAUGGGUACUAGGUGUCGGGGGUAUCGACCCCUCCGGUGCCGCAGUUAACGCACUAAGUACCC